CUGCCGUGUAACAAACGCUGGUCCGAAAGGUAUUAGCUGAUCCUAGUGAGACUCGGUUCUACUCGGCGUGAUAAUUAUCUAACGUCGAGGACAUCUGUAAAGGUGGCCAAGUUGAACUAAUGGAUUGCUUCUAAUCGUCUUCAUCGACAACAUAUCAUCAAUCUGACCUCGAAUCAGGUGGGACUACCCGCUGAACUUAA
rnacentral:misc_RNA from 1 species